rnacentral:rRNA from 1 species
ACUCCUACGGGAGGCAGCAGUGGGGAAUAUUGCACAAUGGGCGCAAGCCUGAUGCAGCCAUGCCGCGUGUAUGAAGAAGGCCUUCGGGUUGUAAAGUACUUUCAGCAGUGAGGAAGGUGGGUAGUGUUAAUAGCAUACUCAUUUGUACGUUAGCUGCAGAAGAAGCACCGGCUAACUCCGUGCCAGCAGCCGCGGUAAUACGGAGGGUGCGAGCGUUAAUCGGAAUUACUGGGCGUAAAGCGCAUGCAGGUGGUUGUUAAGUCAGAUGUGAAAGCCCGGGGCUCAACCUCGGAAUUGCAUUUGAAACUGGCAAACUAGAGUACUGUAGAGGGGGUAGGAAUUUCAGGUGUAGCGGUGAAAUGCGUAGAGAUCUGAAGGAUACCGGUGGCGAAGGCGGCCCCUGGACAGAUACUGACACUCAGAUGCGAAAGCGUGGGAGCAAACAGGAUUAGAUA